GCACCACCACUCAGGGAAUCGAGAAAGAGCUAUCAAUCUGUCAAUCCUGUCCGUAUCCCGGCCGGGUGAGGUUUCCC